rnacentral:rRNA from 1 species
UAGGGAAUCUUCCGCAAUGGGCGAAAGCCUGCCGGAGCAACGCCGCGUGAGUGAUGAAGGUCUUCGGAUCGUAAAACUCUGUUAUUAGGGAAGAAUAAAUGUGUAAGUAACUAUGCACGUCUUGACGGUACCUAAUCAGAAAGCCACGGCUAACUACGUGCCAGCAGCCGCGGUAAUACGUAGGUGGCAAGCGUUAUCCGGAAUUAUUGGGCGUAAAGCGCGCGUAGGCGGUUUUUUAAGUCUGAUGUGAAAGCCCACGGCUCAACCGGGGAGGGUCAUUGGAAACUGGAAAACUUGAGUGCAGAAGAGGAAAGUGGAAUUCCAUGUGUAGCGGUGAAAUGCGCAGAGAUAUGGAGAAACACCAGUGGCGAAGGCGACUUUCUGGUCUGUAACUGACGCUGAUGUGCGAAAGCGUGGGGAUCAAACAGG